GUCCCCGUAGCUCAGCAGGAUAGAGCAUCAGAUUCCUAAUCUGAGGGCCGCAGGUUCGAAUCCUGCCGGGGACA
rnacentral:tRNA from 1 species